UCCAUGAGAGCAAUAGAUGGACCAUUGUCUCCUCCACAUUGAUGAAACCACACUUUGGAUUGGGUUCAACUUUAUCAUCAUCAGAGAGAAUCAAAAGAAAAGCAUUAUACAAGGUAAAUCUCUUGUCAGAUGGAUAUGGGAUCAAUUUAAAGAAAGGCAUAUGGUACUUGGAUACACAUGAGAACAUGGUAUACAUUUAGGGGAGAAAUUUGCCAGCAUCCAUGAUGGCCUUCAUAUUUAGAUUACAGAACUUGUUACAGUAAUAAUUCACUAGCUUCCUCUUCAGAUGGAUAUGAGAUAUGGGAUUCAUCAUGGAGAACUCGAAAAGAAGAGACUAUGUGUCUUAUACCAAACAAGGUAGUGAAGAGUGUCA
rnacentral:lncRNA from 1 species